ensembl:lncRNA
CUCUGACUUGUUUGGUAAAUAGCUGCCCUUGCAGUUAGGAGACACGUAAAGUACAUUGUUCGUUUGUGUGUCACAUCAGCCCAAGGGACUAUUAUAGACAAUUAUGAUUUUUAAUUUGUUAAACACACUUUGUAUGGUAAAACACAGCACUACCUUGGUUUGUCUUCUAUGAACAGGGCAUUUAGGUUGAAAAGCUACAUGAACCCUGCUGGUAUUGCCAUGGGAGGAUCUGGAUGCAUAAGUCCCAACUACUGCCAGGCAAGAGAUUCCUCAGGAAAAGCAGCCUUCUGCUGACUGAAGAGGAAGAAGGAAAACACAAGCCUUGCAACGCCCUAUCACUGCUGUGCAAUCCAAAUUCAGUCCUUUGGUGGCUCUGGGAAGGUGGCAGGAGCUCUGCUUGACACCAUUAACCUUGACCGUCAGGGAGGCCAAGAACCUGACCUAGGUUAAAAGUAACGCCAUAAAGCGCAGACAAGAACUUGUGCUGAUGCACAAAGGAACUGGCAGGACAGGGAGUACAUAUGAGUUUCUGGAGGAGAAUUCAUCUUCUGAUGGCCUGUGUAAACUGGAACUGAUUGAGAAACAACGCUGUAAAAUGACUGUUACCCUUGCCUGAGGAAGAACUGGUGUGCAGCCAAAGCAACGAGUUUGUGACUGCCAUAGAUGGCGAACGUGUUUUAACUUCUCCUAGAUGUGGGUGCCUCCCCUUGCAAGGGCGAAGGAAUCUCCUAGGUGUCCUUGGGAGGCCUGUGGUCUCUACCACAGCACCAUAUGCUAUACACACAGUUGGGAGUGACAGUGUGGUUUUGUAUAAAGACAUCAGGCAGUGGUUCUCUAUCCCCACUGGAGAAACUCGCCUAGCUUUAUCAAGAGAGAAAGAUUUAAGUCAAACGACCACUUUGUAUUAUGUUAAGCUCUGUUCAGUUUAAGAAAUUUCUGCCUGUAUCCCUAGUGCUGUCACCAUGCUGCAUUUCCUUAUGCAUUUACAACCCGGUCUAAUCACCUGGACUGGUGGCCAAGUCUGUGCCACUGCAGGAAGAUUACUGCUUUUAAAAUGCAAGUUAUUGGCUAAAUAGAAUCGUGGUGUAGUUGCAAACCCGUCACAUUUUGGGGCUCUUACAUGUUGUAACAAAACUGAAAUGCAAUGUCCAAUUGAUUAACCUUUUUGUCUGAAAGAGUGCUUCUGCUGCUCAGCCAGUGUGUUCUUGAAACAGAUAAUUGCAUCAGUGCUUUUCACUGGAUAGUAAAAAUGAAGAUUAACCCUUGACCAGUGUAUUUGUUCUAUGCAGGAAUUUUCCUUCAACUCUGGCCCAGACUGGCUCAUUUUACAGGCAGAGCUCAGCAGCUAGAAGAGCUGGGCUCCUCUUCUUGGCGUGCCUUAUUCUUCCACUCUCCCUUUUGCUUUUCAUACUGUCAUGUGGAUUGUUGACUGUUGGUUAAUAUAUUUCUCCUCUGGCCCUGGAUAAUGUGUCUGUUCUUCUGUUUCUCUUGACUCUGGAACUGAGAAACAAAGCAGAACAUCUCAGCAAUGCACGUUGGUUUUUUUUGACCUCGAAAAAUUGUUUUAGAGUUUGAUUUUUCUCUUUCCUCCUUCAGUGUCUCCAGUAAUCUCCAGUCUCUUGAGCUCCUCUCAUCUUCUCUUCAAGGUCUCUUCCUACUGUGUGUUCCCAGAAUUGUCAUGCAGAUAAAGAGCAGCAUCAGUUUGCUAGGAAGGGAAUUGUAUGUUUAAACAUCACCAGUCUAACACAUAUUGACUUUUAUUUUAGGAUGUAACACAUAGAACAAAUAAAAUAUAAGUUUCUGGGGCUUUCUGCUUGGUC